rnacentral:tRNA from 1 species
GGGCCGUUAGCUCAGUUGGCAGAGCACCUGAUUUUUAAUCCGGUGGCCGCAGGUUCGAAUCCUGCACGGCCCAUCA